rnacentral:sRNA from 1 species
UGCACACCUAGACACAACUGACAACUGCCCUUUUUAUUCCAUUUUUGUCAUUACAGGAAAAGUCUUGCACGAGGAGCAUGUUGAACUCUUGAUGGAGGAAUUCGCAUUCCUGAAAAAAGAAGUGGUGGGGAAAGACCUGCUGAAAGGGUCGCUCCUCUUCACAGCUGGCCCAUUGGAAGAAGAGCGGUUUGGCUUCCCUGCGUUCAGCGGCAUCUCUCGCCUGACCUGGCUGGUCUCCCUCUUUGGGGAGCUUUCUCUUGUGUCUGCCACUUUGGAAGAGCGAAAGGAAGAUCCGUAUAUGAAAAUGACAGUGUGUCUGGAGAC